AACGAACGCUGGCGGCAUGCCUAACACAUGCAAGUCGAACGAGAAAGCCCUUUCGGGGGUGAGUAGAGUGGCGCACGGGUGAGUAACACGUAGGUGACCUACCAUUUGGAGGGGGAUAACUGAAAGAAAUUUCAGCUAAUACCGCAUAAGCACUGUGAACUUGAAUAUAGCAGUGGAAAGGAUGCCUCUAUACUAUGCAUUCACCGAAUGAGGGGCCUGCGGGACAUUAGCUUGAUGGUGGGGUAACGGCUUACCAUGGCGACGAUGUCUAGCUGGUCUGAGAGGAUGAUCAGCCACACUGGAACUGAGACACGGUCCAG
rnacentral:rRNA from 1 species